CCACUAUCAAACUUGUUCCUUGAUUACAAUGAAAUUCACCACAAGAGUUACAAAAUUUAGAGUUUUUCCUAAAUCUACCCUAAGCCCGAAUUUCUUCCCGUGACCAAGAAAUUCAAUAUGAAAGUGUUUCCCAAGGUGAUAGAAUGUUUCCCUAACCCUAGAGUCUUCCCAAGAUGAUAUCUCUUAACCCUAGCCUUUUUGUUAGCCUUUG
rnacentral:lncRNA from 1 species